rnacentral:rRNA from 1 species
GAUGAACGCUGGCGGCGUGCCUAAUACAUGCAAGUCGAGCGAACGGACGAGAAGCUUGCUUCUCUGAUGUUAGCGGCGUACGGGUGAGUAACACGUGGAUAACCUACCUAUAAGACUGGGAUAACUUCGGGAAACCGGAGCUAAUACCGGAUAAUAUUUUGAACCGCAUGGUUCAAAAGUGAAAGACGGUCUUGCUGUCACUUAUAGAUGGAUCCGCGCUGCAUUAGCUAGUUGGUAAGGUAACGGCUUACCAAGGCAACGAUGCAUAGCCGACCUGAGAGGGUGAUCGGCCACACUGGAACUGAGACACGGUCCAGACUCCUAAGGGAGGCAGCAGUAGGGAAUCUUCCGCAAUGGGAGAAAGCCUGACGGAGCAACGCCGCGUGAGUGAUGAAGGUCUUCGGAUCGUAAAACUCUGUUAUUAGGGAAGAACAUAUGUGUAAGUAACUGUGCACAUCUUGACGGUACCUAAUCAGAAAGCCACGGCUAACUACGUG